UAACUGCGAGUGAAGCGGCAAAAGCUCAAAUUUGAAAUCUGACGUCACCUGGCGUUCGAAUUGUAAUUUGGAGGGGCAUUUUCGGAGCUGGCGUUGUCCUAAGUUCCUUGGAACAGGACGUCACAGAGGGUGAGAAUCCCGUGCCUGGAUGGCUGUCCAGCUCCAUGUGAGGUGUCUCCGACGAGUCGAGUUGUUUGGGAAUGCAGCUCAAAAUGGGUGGUAAAUUUCAUCUAAAGCUAAAUACUGGCGAGAGACCGAUAGCGCACAAGUAGAGUGAUCGAAAGAUGAAAAGCACUUUGAAAAGAGAGUUAAAAAGUACGUGAAAUUGUUGAAAGGGAAGCGCUUGAGACCAGACUCAACCUUCGGUGAUCAGCUGUGCUUUUGUGCAGUGCACUUGCCGUGGGUUGGGCCAGCAUCGGUUUCGACGGUGGGAUAAAGGUUCGAGGAAUGUGGCUCCCCGAUUUCGGGGAGUGUUAUAGCCCUGAGCGCAAUGCCACCUGUUGGGACCGAGGACCGCGCUUCCGCUAGGAUGCUGGC
rnacentral:rRNA from 1 species